AGUGAACGCUGGCGGUAGGCCUAACACAUGCAAGUCGAACGGCAGCACAGUAAGAGCUUGCUCUUACGGGUGGCGAGUGGCGGACGGGUGAGGAAUACAUCGGAAUCUACUUUUUCGUGGGGGAUAACGUAGGGAAACUUACGCUAAUACCGCAUACGACCUAAGGGUGAAAGCAGGGGAUCUUCGGACCUUGCGCGAUUGAAUGAGCCGAUGUCGGAUUAGCUAGUUGGCGGGGUAAAGGCCCACCAAGGCGACGAUCCGUAGCUGGUCUGAGAGGAUGAUCAGCCACACUGGAACUGAGACACGGUCCAGACUCCUACGGGAGGCAGCAGUGGGGAAUAUUGGACAAUGGGCGCAAGCCUGAUCCAGCCAUACCGCGUGGGUGAAGAAGGCCUUCGGGUUGUAAAGCCCUUUUGUUGGGAAAGAAAAGCAGCAGGUUAAUACCCCGCUGUUCUGACGGUACCCAAAGAAUAAGCACCGGCUAACCUCGUG
rnacentral:rRNA from 1 species